UACGUAGGGGACGAGCGUUGUCCGGAAUUACUGGGCGUAAAGGGCGCGCAGGCGGUAUAUCAAGUCAGCUGUCAAAGACUGGGGCUCAACCCUGGUAUACGGUUGAAACUGAUAUGCUGGAGUGCUGUAGAGGCAAGUGGAAUUCCCAGUGUAGCGGUGAAAUGCGUAGAUAUUAGGAGGAACACCAGUAGCGAAGGCGGCUCUCUGGACUGUAACUGACGCUGAGGCACGAAAGCGUGGGGAGCAAACAGGAUUAGA
rnacentral:rRNA from 1 species